GCGGUAUAGCUCAGUUGGCUAGAGCAUUCGGUUCAUACCCGAAAGGUCGUGGGUUCAAAUCCAACUGCCG
rnacentral:tRNA from 1 species